GCGGAUGUAGCUCAGUUGGUAGAGCACAACCUUGCCAAGGUUGGGGUCGCGGGUUCGAGUCCCGUCAUCCGCUCGA
rnacentral:tRNA from 1 species